UGACGAGUGGUGGCCGAAUCAGGGGGACAUCAAGGGACGUUCAGGCAGGGACCAUGGCGGACGGCGGCUCGGAGCCGGCUGAUGGGCGCAUCGUCUAGAUGGAGGUGGACUACAGCGCCACGGUGGAUCAACGACUGCCCGAGUGCGAGAAGUUGGCCAAGGAAGGAAGACUUCAAGAAGUCAUUGAAAUCCUUCUCUCUUUGGAGAAACAGACCCGCACUGCUUCUGAUAUGGUGUCUACAUCCCGCAUCUUAGUUGCAGUAGUGAAGAUGUGCUAUGAGGCUAAAGAAUGGGAUUUACUUAAUGAAAAUAUUAUGCUUUUGUCAAAAAGAUGGAGUCAGUUAAAACAAGCUGUUGCAAAAAUGGUUCAACAGUGCUGUACUUACGUUGAGGAAAUCACAGACCUUCCAAUCAAACUUCGAUUAAUUGAUACCCUACGAAUGGUUACAGAAGGAAAGAUUUAUGUUGAAAUUGAGCGUGCUCGACUGACGAAAACGUUAGCAACUAUAAAAGAGCAAAACGGUGACGUGAAAGAGGCCGCCUCCAUUUUACAGGAGUUACAGGUGGAAACCUACGGGUCAAUGGAAAAGAAGGAGAGAGUGGAGUUUAUCUUGGAGCAAAUGAGGCUCUGCCUAGCUGUGAAGGAUUACAUUCGUACACAAAUCAUCAGCAAGAAAAUUAACACCAAAUUUUUCCAGGAAGAAAAUACAGAGAAAUUAAAAUUGAAAUAUUAUAACUUAAUGAUUCAGGUGGAUCAACAUGAGGGAUCUUAUUUGUCUAUUUGUAAGCACUACAGAGCAAUAUAUGAUACUCCCUGUAUACAGGCAGAAAGUGAAAAGUGGCAACAGGCUCUGAAAAGUGUCGUCCUCUAUGUGAUUUUGGCUCCUUUUGACAACGAACAGUCAGAUUUGGUUCACCGAAUAAGUGGUGACAAGAAGUUAGAAGAAAUUCCUAAAUACAAGGAUCUUUUAAAGCUUUUUACCACAAUGGAGCUGAUGCGUUGGUCCACACUUGUUGAAGACUAUGGAAUGGAAUUAAGAAAAGGGUCUCUUGAGAGUCCGGCAACUGAUGUUUUUGGUUCUACAGAGGAAGGUGAAAGAAGGUGGAAAGACUUGAAGAACAGAGUUGUUGAACAUAAUAUUAGAAUAAUGGCCAAGUAUUACACAAGGAUAACAAUGCAGAGGAUGGCUCAGCUUCUCAACUUGUCUGUCGAUGAGUCAGAAGCUUUUCUUUCGAAUCUAGUAGUUAACAAGACCAUCUUUGCUAAAGUAGACAGGUUGGCAGGAAUUAUCAACUUCCAGAGAUCCAAGGAUCCAAAUAAUUUAUUAAAUGACUGGUCUCAGAAACUGAACUCACUGAUGUCUCUAGUUAACAAAACUACACACCUCAUAGCCAAAGAGGAGAUGAUACAUAAUCUACAAUAAGGGUCUCAAUGCCCCUAAUGCUUUUAGAAAAGAGUUAAAAUUGGAAGUCAUAAAAAAAAAAAGACUGUUAUGGUGUAAAUGUUGGGUUUGUUUGUUUGUGUUUUCUAUAUUCUCAGCUCCUUUGUCUAAAAUUUAAAAGAUAGUGAAUAUGUUUAAGGCCCCUUUUGACCUUUCAGCUCCCUGAUUUUAUCGUUAACUUUGCAUUUGCAAUUGGUGCAAAAAAAAAAAAUACAUUUCUAUUGUCUACAUACUCAAAAAAUUGUGUCAUAACUUACCCAAAUGUGUUUUUCUGUCAUUUGAAAACUUUUUAGCUGUUAUUUGUUCUCAUUCAGCUAACGACCAUAAUUAUAAUAAUAAACGUAUAUGCACAUUGACUUUCUAUAAAAA